GAUGAACGCUGGCGGCGUGCCUAAUACACGCAAGUCGAGCGAAUGGAUUGAGAGCUUGCUCUUAUGAAGUUAGCGGCGGACGGGUGAGUAACACGUGGGUAACCUGCCUAUAAGACUGGGAUAACUCCGGGAAACCGGGGCUAAUACCGGAUAACAUUUUGAACCGCAUGGUUCGAAAUUGAAAGGCGGCUUCGGCUGUCACUUAUGGAUGGACCCGCGUCGCAUUAGCUAGUUGGUGAGGUAACGGCUCACCAAGGCAACGAUGCGUAGCCGACCUGAGAGGGUGAUCGGCCACACUGGGACUGAGACACGGCCCAGACUCCUACGGGAGGCAGCAGUAGGGAAUCUUCCGCAAUGGACGAAAGUCUGACGGAGCACGCCGCGUGAGUGAUGAAGGCUUUCGGGUCGUAAAACUCUGUUGUUAGGGAAGAACAAGUGCUAGUUGAAUAAGCUGGCACCUUGACGGUACCUAACCAGAAAGCCACGGCUAACUACGUGCCAGCAGCCGCAGUAA
rnacentral:rRNA from 1 species